rnacentral:rRNA from 1 species
UGGUGGAGUGAUUUGUCUGGUUAAUUCCGUUAACGAACGAGACCGCUGCCUGCUAAAUAGUCCAGUGAGUGAAUUUCACUGACCAGGACUUCUUAGAGGGACGUGCAUUCCAUUAGAUGCAGGAAGAUAGCGGCGAUAACA